CAGUAGCCGCGGGAAUACGUAGGGUGCAAGCGUUAAUCGGAAUUACUGGGCGUAAAGCGUGCGCAGGCGGUUCUAUAAGACAGAUGUGAAAUCCCCGGGCUCAACCUGGGAACUGCAUUUGUGACUGUAGAGCUGGAGUGCGGCAGAGGGGGAUGGAAUUCCGCGUGUAGCAGUGAGAUGCGUAGAUAUGCGGAGGAACACCGAUGGCGAAGGCAAUCCCCUGGGCCUGCACUGGCGCUCAUGCACGAAAGCGUGGGGAGCAAACAGGAUUAGAGACCCGAGUAGUCCCUGUCUCUUAUAC
rnacentral:rRNA from 1 species